rnacentral:lncRNA from 1 species
AAAUAGUAAAUUUAAAAACCUUUUACCGCUUCAGGUUAAAGUUUUUGGUCGAGGUAGUUUUUGAUGAAGUUGAAGUCCAAUCAACUUAAAACUUAGUACACAUGUUCUUUAUGAUAUGAUCUUCUAAUUUUAAUGCCAAAUUAGAGAUUUUACUCCAUUUUCACGGUCCACUGAACAUAGAAAAUAAUAAUGAGAUGGGGCAUCUGUGUACUGGGGACACAUUCUUGUUUUAUAAAUUGAAUAUGAUAUUCAAAAAAUUUGAUUUUAGACUUCAAAAACAAAAUGACCACUGGCUUAUCUUUUCGACAUGAUAUUUGUUAUAGCUUUAAUAGUUCAUUAGUUACAAAGCCUGUUGAUGAAUGAAUUUAUGAUUAUGUAUAAAUAUUUUGUUUAACCAUGGUGCUAUAUGUUCCCUUUUGCAAGCUCUAAAAAAGG